GUGAGCCAAGCUUGCUUGGUGGAUCAGUGGCGAACGGGUGAGUAACACGUGAGCAACCUGCCCUGGACUCUGGGAUAAGCGCUGGAAACGGCGUCUAAUACUGGAUAUGAGACGUGAUCGCAUGGUCGUGUUUGGAAAGAUUUUUCGGUCUGGGAUGGGCUCGCGGCCUAUCAGCUUGUUGGUGAGGUAAUGGCUCACCAAGGCGUCGACGGGUAGCCGGCCUGAGAGGGUGACCGGCCACACUGGGACUGAGACACGGCCCAGACUCCUACGGGAGGCAGCAGUGGGGAAUAUUGCACAAUGGGCGGAAGCCUGAUGCAGCAACGCCGCGUGAGGGAUGACGGCCUUCGGGUUGUAAACCUCUUUUAGCAGGGAAGAAGCGUAAGUGACGGUACCUGCAGAAAAAGCGCCGGCUAACUACGUGCCAGCAGCCGCGGUAAUACGUAGGGCGCAAGCGUUAUCCGGAAUUAUUGGGCGUAAAGAGCUCGUAGGCGGUUUGUCGCGUCUGCUGUGAAAUCCCGAGGCUCAACCUCGGGCCUGCAGUGGGUACGGGCAGACUAGAGUGCGGUAGGGGAGAUUGGAAUUCCUGGUGUAGCGGUGGAAUGCGCAGAUAUCAGGAGGAACACCGAUGGCGAAGGCAGAUCUCUGGGCCGUAACUGACGCUGAGGAGCGAAAGGGUGGGGAGCAAACAGGCUUAGAUACCCUGGUAGUCCACCCCGUAAACGUUGGGAACUAGUUGUGGGGACCAUUCCACGGUUUCCGUGACGCAGCUAACGCAUUAAGUUCCCCGCCUGGGGAGUACGGCCGCAAGGCUAAAACUCAAAGGAAUUGACGGGGACCCGCACAAGCGGCGGAGCAUGCGGAUUAAUUCGAUGCAACGCGAAGAACCUUACCAAGGCUUGACAUAUACGAGAACGGGCCAGAAAUGGUCAACUCUUUGGACACUCGUAAACAGGUGGUGCAUGGUUGUCGUCAGCUCGUGUCGUGAGAUGUUGGGUUAAGUCCCGCAACGAGCGCAACCCUCGUUCUAUGUUGCCAGCACGUAAUGGUGGGAACUCAUGGGAUACUGCCGGGGUCAACUCGGAGGAAGGUGGGGAUGACGUCAAAUCAUCAUGCCCCUUAUGUCUUGGGCUUCACGCAUGCUACAAUGGCCGGUACAAAGGGCUGCAAUACCGUGAGGUGGAGCGAAUCCCAAAAAGCCGGUCCCAGUUCGGAUUGAGGUCUGCAACUCGACCUCAUGAAGUCGGAGUCGCUAGUAAUCGCAGAUCAGCAACGCUGCGGUGAAUACGUUCCCGGGUCUUGUACACACCGCCCGUCAAGUCAUGAAAGUCGGUAACACCUGAAGCCGGUGGCCUAACCCUUGUGGAGGGAGC
rnacentral:rRNA from 1 species